rnacentral:rRNA from 1 species
GUGGGGAAUAUUGGACAAUGGGCGCAAGCCUGAUCCAGCCAUGCCGCGUGAGUGAUGAAGGCCUUAGGGUUGUAAAGCUCUUUCAGUGGGGACGAUAAUGACGGUACCCACAGAAGAAGCCCCGGCUAACUUCGUGCCAGCAGCCGCGGUAAUACGAAGGGGGCUAGCGUUGUUCGGAUUUACAGGGCGUAAAGCGCACGUAGGCGGAUCGUUAAGUCGGGGGUGAAAUCCUGGAGCUCAACUCCAGAACUGCCUUCGAUACUGGCGAUCUUGAGUCCGGAAGAGGUGAGUGGAACUCCUAGUGUAGAGGUGGAAUUCGUAGAUAUUAGGAAGAACACCAGUGGCGAAGGCGGCUCACUGGUCCGGUACUGACGCUGAGGUGCGAAAGCGUGGGGAGCAAACAGGAUUAGAUACCCGUGUAGUCC